rnacentral:tRNA from 1 species
UUAAUUGAAACCAAAAUAGAGGUAAAUUAUUGUUAAUAAUUUUAUUGAAUUUAAAAUUCCUAUUAAA